rnacentral:rRNA from 1 species
CCUACGGGUGGCAGCAGUGGGGAAUAUUGGACAAUGGGCGAAAGCCUGAUCCAGCCAUGCCGCGUGUGUGAAGAAGGCCUUCGGGUUGUAAAGCACUUUCAGUGGGGAAGAAAGCCUUGGGGCUAAUACCCUCGAGGAAGUACAUCACCCACAGAAGAAGCACCGGCUAACUCCGUGCCAGCAGCCGCGGUAAUACGGAGGGUGCGAGCGUUAAUCGGAAUUACUGGGCGUAAAGCGCGCGUAGGCGGUCUGAUAAGCCGGUUGUGAAAGCCCCGGGCUCAACCUGGGAACGGCAUCCGGAACUGUCAGGCUAGAGUGCAGGAGAGGAAGGUAGAAUUCCCGGUGUAGCGGUGAAAUGCGUAGAGAUCGGGAGGAAUACCAGUGGCGAAGGCGGCCUUCUGGACUGACACUGACGCUGAGGUGCGAAAGCGUGGGUAGCAAACAGGAUUAGAUACCCCGGUAGUC